rfam:Citrus clementina cultivar Clemenules unplaced genomic scaffold scaffold_7, whole genome shotgun sequence.
UUUUUUUCACGGUAAAUUAUCAAAACUAAUAAGAUCCAAGUGUAGUAUCUGUUCUUAUCAGUUUAAUAUCUGAUAUGUGGAUCAUCGAUCCACACUAUAUUAAAUUAAUUUUUUGAGGGAAGGGUUCAAUGCAGUAGCUUGCUACUGUGAUCCCUGAGCGUCGCCCAUGCGUUGCACUACUGCACGGGCCUGGCGCACCCCAC